UACGUAGGGUCCGAGCGUUGUCCGGAAUUACUGGGCGUAAAGAGCUCGUAGGUGGUUUGUCGCGUUGUUCGUGAAAACUCACAGCUCAACUGUGGGCGUGCGGGCGAUACGGGCAGACUUGAGUACUGCAGGGGAGACUGGAAUUCCUGGUGUAGCGGUGGGAAUGACGCAGAUAUCAGGAGGAACACCGGUGGCGAAGGCGGGUCUCUGGGCAGUAACUGACGCUGAGGAGCGAAAGCGUGGGGAGCGAACAGG
rnacentral:rRNA from 1 species